rnacentral:rRNA from 1 species
AGUGAGGAAUAUUGGUCAAUGGGCGGAAGCCUGAACCAGCCAUCCCGCGUGAAGGAAGAAGGCCUUAUGGGUUGUAAACUUCUUUUCUGUUUGAAGAAUAAGCUUGUCGAGACAAGUGAUGCCGGUAGGACAGGAAUAAGCAUCGGCUAACUCCGUGCCAGCAGCCGCGGUAAUACGGAGGAUGCAAGCGUUAUCCGGAUUUAUUGGGUUUAAAGGGUGCGCAGGUGGUUUAAUAAGUCAGUGGUGAAAGUCUGCCGCUUAACGGUAGGAUUGCCAUUGAUACUGUUGGACUUGAAUAUGGAUGAGGUAGGCGGAAUGUGUAGUGUAGCGGUGAAAUGCUUAGAUAUUACACAGAACACCGAUUGCGAAGGCAGCUUACUAAUCCAUGAUUGACGCUGAGGCACGAAAGCGUGGGGAUCAAACAGGAUUAGAUACCCUGGUAGUCCACGCUGUAAACGAUGAUCACUCGCUGUUUGCGAUAUACAGUAAGCGGCUAAGCGAAAGCGUUAAGUGAUCCACCUGGGGAGUACGAUCGCAAGGUUGAAACUCAAAGGAAUUGACGGGGGCCCGCACAAGCGGAGGAACAUGUGGUUUAAUUCGAUGAUACGCGAGGAACCUUACCUGGGCUUAAAUGGGGAGUGACAGCUGCUGAAAGGUGGUUUUCUUCGGACACUCUUCAAGGUGCUGCAUGGUUGUCGUCAGCUCGUGCCGUGAGGUGUCGGGUUAAGUCCCAUAACGAGCGCAACCCUUACUGUUAGUUGCCAGCGGGUAAAGCCGGGGACUCUAGCGGGACUGCCACCGUAAGGUGAGAGGAAGGUGGGGAUGACGUCAAAUCAGCACGGCCCUUAUGUCCAGGGCUACACACGUGUUACAAUGGCCGGUACAAAGGGCAGCUACACUGCGAAGUGAUGCUAAUCUCGAAAGCCGGUCCCAGUUCGGAUCGAAGUCUGCAACCCGACUUCGUGAAGUUGGAUUCGCUAGUAAUCGCGCAUCAGCCAUGGCGCGGUGAAUACGUUCCCGGGCCUUGUACACACCGCCCGUCAAGCCAUGGGAGCCGGGGGUACCUGAAGUCUGCAACCGCAAGGAGCGGCCUAGGGUAAAACUGGUGACUGGGGCU